rnacentral:lncRNA from 1 species
GUGAAGCAAACAGCAGUAGAACUUUCUUCAGCUGGGGGCCCUUCGGUGAUAAGAGAAGGCCUCUGUGGCCUUAUUUCUGCAGCAUCGCAUUCUCUGCUUCCUUCCCCCAGCUCCCUCAGCCCACGGCUGUCAACACCCUGCGAACACAUGGAGAGCAAUUGCUGUUCCCAGGCCAUGUGCAGAAACGGGUCCCCGAGGUCAGCCACAGAGUCUCACUUGCCUAGAACCACAGCCUGGUUUUUCCUCUCGUAAAUCCAUUUAGUUUGAUAAGAUUGGGCUCAGUUUUGGCUGCACACAGACUAGAGUGUUCUGCAUGGUGAGAGCAAAGGACUGCUUGGUCCCCUAUUUGAGACGAGAAAAUGGCUGUAUCAUUUGUGGCCUGCGUGUGUUGUGUCUGGUUCCCGUGGUUUGUUUUCCUGCUUUGAAAACGAAACCGUUCAUGGCUUUGAGAUGGAAAGCAGACCACGUUUUGUCAGCAAGGCCAUUCGUCAUGUCCCCCAGAGGGGGCUGUGAACUCCCGCAGCCUUGCACUCUGCCAGUAUGCGGACCACCCAGGACGUGGAGCUCAGAAGGCCACCAGGCAGCACUGGGCACAAGGCUCUGCUACCCAGCUGGCCUGAGGCCUCAGCCAGCUCCCACCUACCCCUGGGGACGCAGGUCUGAAAUAAGCCAGUGUGAUGGUCCGCGGAGACUAGAUUCACCCUGGCAGUCCAGGGUGUUUCCAAGGUGGGCCCAGGGUAAACUUGCAAAACGGUCCAGAGCGAACAGAGCUUCUCAGAUCCGCUUCAGAGCAGAGCCCGGUGAGGAAAUCACUUUACUGCUCCGUUAAAAGUUGUUUGGCUAUGUUUAAGUUGAACUCUCUUGUUUUUUACUGUUCUGCAGAAAGCUAGUUGUAAAACCCUCUGACAUACAGUAAAGAACUUCUGUUAGCAAAUGUCUGCUCCUGCUGGGUGGGAGAACCAAAGGAGGCAUGCAGAGACAUGGUUGCAAGAAGAAGUGCCUGACGCAGCUGUCCCGGGCAGCAACGCUGUCAGCCUCACCCGGGAACUUACGAGAAAGGCAGUGGUCUGCAGUGGCCCCCGCAGACCAUGGGGGCUGGCAGCCUGGAAUCUGCAUUUAUAACAAGAUUCAGGGCAAUUGCUAUGCAAACUCAUCGGAGAACCAGGGCACUGGGGCAAUGUUGAUCACAGGACCCCAUGACCCGGGAAUGUCGCUGUAUACAGUCAGCCCAGAAGGGUGCUCUGGUCUCCAGGGAAGCAGAGGCAGCUGGGGCUGGGUCCCAGGGGUGAUUAGCAGGGCCAAGGACGAAGAUCCUGUUGCUUUGCCAAGUUGUGUCAAGACUGGAGACAAUGAGCAUAGCGCUCAAGCCUUCUGAAUCCCUACAAGACUUAACUACGCCACUUCGACGUGGAACAACAGCCUAAGACGGAGUGGGAAGUGAUUGUAAUUGGGCUCAGUGAGGAACCAGUUAAGCCCAGAUCCUCUAUGUAAAACCUUGUUUACUCUUGUGUCUUUGUUGUUCAUUUUUAUGUGAAGUGAUGACUGACUCACAUCGUAAUUUUAAUAAAGACAAAGCUGUAAUAGAACCA